UCAUGGAUGCAGUAUAGUGGUUUGGGCAUCGGAUUAUGACUCUGGAGACCAGGGUUCAAAUCCUAGCUUGUCCAUGAA